rnacentral:rRNA from 1 species
GACGAACGCUGGCGGCGUGCUUAACACAUGCAAGUCGAACGGAAAGGCCCUGCUUUUGUGGGGUGCUCGAGUGGCGAACGGGUGAGUAACACGUGAGUAACCUGCCCUUGACUUUGGGAUAACUUCAGGAAACUGGGGCUAAUACCGGAUAGGAGCUCCUGCUGCAUGGUGGGGGUUGGAAAGUUUCGGCGGUUGGGGAUGGACUCGCGGCUUAUCAGCUUGUUGGUGGGGUAGUGGCUUACCAAGGCUUUGACGGGUAGCCGGCCUGAGAGGGUGACCGGCCACAUUGGGACUGAGAUACGGCCAAGACUCCUACGGAGGCAGCAGUGGGGAAUAUUGCACAAUGGGCGGAAGCCUGAUGCAGCAACGCCGCGUGCGGGAUGACGGCCUUCGGGUUGUAAACCGCUUUCGCCUGUGACGAAGCGUGAGUGACGGUAAUGGGUAAAGAAGCACCGGCUAACUACGUG